AUGACUGUUAGAGUGUGUGUGGUCAUGGCAGUGGCUUUUUGUUGUUUCUGCUUCAGGCUGCAGAAGAUGGGCUGUUCCUGUAGUACUUCUUCUGACGAGUGGAGUGACAGCGACAGCGACAGCAGUCUGCCAGAACUCCCACCCUUCGUUAGACGGAGCACGAAGACGGUGGAGCUGAGGCAGCACACCUCCGCAGUAACCCAGCAUGCAUGCUUGGAUGAGGAGGUUAAAGGAGACGGCAGUGGCACAUGUGAGGAACCCCUGGAAUCACAUCCCCGUGUGGCGCUGCCCAGACUGAGCACAGACGGAGAGGAAAACACUCUCGAUGGGUCAAAGCCGUCCAAACCGGUCCAGUCAACUCUUGUUGGGCCACCGUCCGUUGCCUUCAUGGUGACUGAGGCAUCAGGUGACCAGCAGAGGCCGAUGGUAGAUCCAGAACCGCAACACGACGAUAAGGACGGCGAGGAGGUCCGUGUUGUACUGACGGAUCCACAUCAGGCGUUCAAAACAAAGACCCACAGCUGCAUCCGUCCCAUCGAUGCUGAUGAUCUCGAGCAAGAGCAGAACCAGUGUCCAACAGAUGAGUCUGGUCCAUCCACAGUUCUGAAAACCAGUUUAUUACCACCACCUAUUGAACCAGAAACCAGUUUAUUACCACCACCUCCUGAACCAGACACUGGUUUAUUACCACCACCUCCUGAAUCAGAAACUGGUUUAUUACCACCUCCUCCUGAACCAGCAACUGGUUUAUUACCACCUCCUCCUGAACCAGCAACUGGUUUAUUACCACCACCUCUUGAACCAGACACUGGUUUAUUACCACCACCUCCUGAACCAGACACUGGUUUAUUACCACCACUUCCUGAACCAGACACUGGUUUAUUACCACCACCUCCUGAAACAGAAACCAGUUUAUUACCACCACCUCCUGAACCAGACACUGGUUUAUUACCACCACCUCUUGAACCAGACACUGGUUUAUUACCACCACUUCCUGAACCAGAAACUGGUUUAUUACCACCACCUCCUGAACUGUCUCUAUUGAGCGAGGUCAAUGUGCGUCUGACCACGGGAUCCUCGCCACAUAUCGGUCAACAAACUCACCGUGGAUUCACCAAAUCCCAGAUUGACUGGCAGGACAAUGUGGAGCUCCAACGUCCGUGGCUUCCUGUGAAUUCCCGCGUAAGGAAAAUCCCAAGCCGAGAUGAGGGCGAUGGUCCCUCAGUCUCAAUUUGCUUUUAUAACACACCCGAAGACCUGGGCCCCCCGAGACCUGAGCGUCACCAUGUUGGCACUCAAACUUUGCCCCCUGGUGCUGGUGGAGAUGCUUCCACUCCAUCUUCCAAGAUUCACUCCGUCUGUCCUGAGCGGCGGGUGAUAGCUGAAGGGGGCGACAGCGGGGACAAGCCCAAGGCAACGGUGUGGACCCAGGGCACACCCAAGGCUGAGUUCCCCCAGAGGGGGGGCGGUGUGGACACCCCAGGGCCAGUGUUGGAGCUCCAGCCCUCCAAGGCUCAGAAUUGUGGGCCAAUGUUGAAUCGGGGUCUGGAGCAGAGAUCAAAGACCAAGGCCGACCACCAACCAGCUCAUCCGCCAGGACAGCAAGUGGGCUCCAAACUGACCUACGCACAGGUCUUGAUGAUGCCCCCAUGUAAGCGUGCCCCACCCCCAGACCUUAGCCCCCCCUACCCAGAACAAGAGCCCCAACCAGCUGGGACUCGCCGUCCACUAAAGCUGAGAUAUGCAAGGCUGUGAACGGAGCGCUAUGGAUAUUUGGUUUUUAGUCUUUACAAAAGAAGCUGAACAAAAUCAACUCUUCAAUUGCUGCUUUAGGAGAUAUUUUUCUUUAGUUUGUUUAGGUCUUUUUUUUUUAAAAAAAAUCCAGGUUCUGUUCCCAUGUUUGAUUGUUCCAGUUUUUUUCUUUUAACACACCUGCAUAAUUGAUGCUCAUAAUUCUGAUUUCUUCUAUUAAAAAG
rnacentral:lncRNA from 1 species